UUAUUUAUUUAUUGGGUGCAUUGGGUCUUUGUUGCUGCACGCGGGCUUUCUCUAGUUGCAGGGAGUGGGGGCUACUCUUCGUUGCGGUGUGCGCAGUCUUCUCGUUGCGGUGACUUCGUUUGUUGCCGAGCACGGGCUCUAGGCGCAUGGGCUUCAGUAGUUGUGCCACACAGGCUCAGUAGUUGUGGC